AACGAACGCUGGCGGCAUGCCUAACACAUGCAAGUCGAACGACACCUUCGGGUCUAGUUGCUCACGGGUGCGUAACGUGUCGGAACCUGCCCUUAGGCUCGGAAUAACUCCCCGACAGGGGUGCUAAUACCGGAUAAUUUCUUCUGAUCAAAGAUUUAUCGCCUUUGUAUGGGCCCGCGUUGUAUUAGCUAGUUGGUAGGGUAAAAGCCUACCAAGGCGACGAUCCAUAGCUGGUUUGAGAGGAUGAUCAGCCACACUGGGACUGAGACACGGCCCAGACUCCUACGGGAGGCAGCAGUGGGGAAUAUUGGACAAUGGGCGAAAGCCUGAUCCAGCAAUGCCGCGUGAGUGAUGAAGGCGUUAGGGUUGUAAAGCUCUUUUACCCGGGAUGAUAAUGACAGUACCGAAAGAAUAAGCACCGGCUAACUCCGUG
rnacentral:rRNA from 1 species